UCGAUUACGUUAUUUACCAUUUCAUCUAAUUUUAACUGAAAACAGCGCCUUGUCGAAUAAAAAAAAAUAUGCAGCAGGAGAACGCAGGUCGCAUAUGGGGCAAUUUCAACUACAAUGAAAUUAUUUUCUCUCUAAUUUAAUUGAUGGUUAUCUGUCCGUUAUUGUUUUUGGAAAUUAUUUACAUUAUGACAUACCAUGGUAUUACACCGAACUUAAUUUGCUCAGUUUAGGUUAAUUCACAAAUUCCAUACACAAAACUGAAAGAAAUAUAGAAACAAUGUCAAUCAGGAUUAUCCAAAGAAAGGUAACAUGAAAAAAAGUUUUAAAAAUCCUUCAAGACACGAAUAAUUUAUUUUGACAACCAACAAAGUAAUUACUCAAAUUGAAUACAAAAAGCAAAAGCGUUAUUACAUUUUUCAUUUAUAAAUAAUAUAAUAAAAAAGUAUACUAAAAAAUCAUGUGACAUGUAACAUAAUUUUUAAUUAUGAAUAAAGGCUAUGAAUUCCCUCUUAAUGAGAUGUUAUACAGUGUUUUUAUUCAAAAUUUUAAUUCAAACAUCGUAUAAAAAUGAUGCACGGGAUUCUAAAUCCCAGAACUACAUUUUCAUUUGAAAAGAAAAUAAUGUGCAUAAAUCUUUUCAAUCAUAGUUUUUUUUAAAAAAUAUAUACAAAAUCAUUGCGGUGACGGAAAUGGCCGAGUAGUUACGAUUGAUACAAAAUUCCUCGUCAGUAAAAUAUGGCAGACGGGCUUCCACAUUGUGACUCAGUGCUAUUCUUAGAACGAAAAAUUUCCAAAACAAACCACGUUAGAAUUAUCGACAAGCGGAGCGAACUAAAGUUUUGCAUUUACAGGAGAGACUGUCAUCAUGUCAAUGAUACAUUAUAUAAAAAAGAACAUCACAAAAAAGCCGGAGAUUUUUAACAUCACUGUCCCGACAACAGCCGAUGUCUCUUUGUCCCAGACUACGCAUGAAAGUCAAACGCUAAGCUUUAAUCAAAGCGCCUUGCUGUCAACUCAUGACAAAGGGACGGCAGAUUCUCCAUUUCCGGUUGCUGCCGUUAUAGCUACAGUAUUAGUUAUAGUUGGGAUUGUCGCUUUUUCGUUGUUUGGAUAUAUAUUUCGAAAAAAGAUAAAGAAUUGGAUAGGUCGCAGGUUUGGCGAGCCCAGAUCCGAUAUUGAGAUGACUACUGUCGAGACAGCUGAUCAAGAGCCUAGAGCCGAUAUUGAACUGACUACCAUGACUGCAGAGACAACUGAUCAAAGUGAAAGAGAUCCAGAUGUAAGUUCCACCGACCCAGCAAAUACCAGCUCUGCAGCACUUCUUGGACCAGGAAACGGUGAUGUCUAACUCGGCCCUGAGUACAGCUAGCUAAGGAAAAAUGAUGUUUCGGUGAAAAGGCGAUUCUGUGAUGAUCUGGCCCCGAUGUCGAGUCGCGAUACCUUACUACAGGUCACAUCGGAAUAUCGGUACCAGACUGUACAAGAUAAGUAAAUGGAUUGUUCUGUUGACUGAAAAUCUGUUUCAAUUUAAAAAGUCUGGGAUUCUAUGCAAUGUACAUGUAUAAAGCCUGUAAAUAGACAUAGUUAAUGUUAUUGUACAAGUUUGUUAACUUGUAAAAGAAAACUUGUAUAGAAUGAUUAUUCCAUUAACAUUUAAAUGACAACUAAAUGUCCAUUGAAAUUAUGUUCUUGAUGUUGAGGAAACAUAAGCUGAUAUACGUGCAGUAAUAACAUAAUUAUUCAAACUUUCAUCAAUAACAAGUACCAAAACAAUGACAGAGAAGAAAAGGACGAUGAAAAAACGGUCUGAUGAAAAAAUGUAUAAACAGAGUUAAUAUAUAUGAUAGUACAUAUGUAAAUAUAGUAUAUUGCAAUACAUAGCAAAAAUAUUUAUAUAUUUAUACGUAUUUAUUUAUUAUAUCUAUGUUGCAUAAUAACAUGUGUAUCAAAGAAGUUAAUGUUGUACAUCGGCCAUCCAUAACCUAUUAUUGUGACUUUUAACAAUUGUUAUUUGCAAUAAAUAAAUAAAAGAAAGAAAAA